CUUUGCUACAAAGGCAGUUGGAAGCCCUGAAGGUCUCAUACGUUCCAGUAGAGGACAUUGCAUGUCCUUUGAAAGAAAAUUUCCAUUUGAUACACAUUAUUAAGCACGAUUUUAGUAAGUGAAAAGAGAACAAACCAUUAAUGGAGUGCACAGCCAAGAAUGGAAUAUAAGGAAGGAAAAAUAAUAUGACUAGGAUCCUACUGCCACAGGACUCAAGAGUUGCCUUCCAAACAUGACUUUCAAAAAAGUGAGAAAUGGUGAACAGGGGGCAGAUCAGAACUUUCGGCCUAUUUAAUGAUUGACUGUAGACUCACCGCCUAAAUCGCUUUAGACCCUUCCUGAUUUCUUUUUGUUCCAGGGUCAUGGACUAGUACUUAUUUUCAUGGGUGACUUAUUUCUUUCUUCCUCCUUCAGAUUCAGAUUGAGAAGGGUGCCCGCACUAACGAGAACAGUCCCCUUCUCCCCCCCCUCCUGCCCCUCCUCUUCCUUUGUCUUUGUUGAAUAAAACAGAUGUGGUGAGCAAUUCUUUUUAUACCUUUAUAUUUUAUAUUUGACAAGUGCACUAAGUAGUAUCAAUUUCUAAGCAUCUAUCUUUUUAUAGUUUAAACUUUUAUCAGAGAAAUACAUAAACUCAGAUGAAAAAAUCAUAAAUGUUUAACAAGGCUUUUUAAUGAAAACCAGUAUCCCCUGCCACAUUCAUCCCC
rnacentral:lncRNA from 10 species